UACGAAGGGGGCUAGCGUUGCUCGGAAUUACUGGGCGUAAAGCGCACGUAGGCGGCCAACUAAGUCAGACGUGAAAUCCCUCGGCUUAACCGGGGAACUGCGUCUGAUACUGGAUGGCUGGAGUUUGGGAGAGGGAUGCGGAAUUCCAGGUGUAGCGGUGAAAUGCGUAGAUAUCUGGAGGAACACCGGUGGCGAAGGCGGCAUCCUGGACCAAUACUGACGCUGAGGAGCGAAAGCCAGGGGAGCAAACGGG
rnacentral:rRNA from 1 species